rnacentral:rRNA from 1 species
GAUGAACGCUGGCGGCGUGCCUAACACAUGCAAGUCGAGCGAACAGACCCUGCUCUUGCUCCUCUCACGUUUGCGGCAGACGGGUGUGUAACGCGUGGAUCACCCCCCUGUCUUUCGGAUAUAAUCUCGGGAAUCCGGCUCUUAUCCCGGAUAAUAUAUUGCACCGCAUGGUUCGAUGGUAAGUGACGGCUUUUGGGGCUGGUAUAGCGGGUUCCGCGCCGCAUUAGCUAGUUGGUAGGUUAACGGCUUACCAAGGCGACGAUGCGUAGCCGACCUGAGAGGGUGAUCGGCCACACUGGAACUGAGACACGGUCAAGAGUCCUAAGGGAGGGAGCAGUAGGGAAUCUGACGCAAUGGGCGAAAGCAUGACGGAGCAACGCCGAGUGAGUGAUGAAGGUCUUGGGAUCGUAAAGCUCUGUUAUUGGGGAAGAACAGAUGUGUCAGUAAAUAUGCACGGCUUGACGGUAACUAAUAAGGAAGCACCGGCUAACUACGUG